rnacentral:ncRNA from 13 species
CCAACGGCCCUCUUUAGGGCCACAAAUAUACGAUAAUCCUUAAAA